AUCUGUGUAACAUGCUUAAUA
rnacentral:miRNA from 1 species